rnacentral:rRNA from 1 species
UUCGCAAUGCCCGAAAGGGUGACGAAGCGACGCCACGUGCGGGAAGAAGGCCUUCGGGUUGUAAACCGCUGUCGGGAGUUAGGAAGUGCAAGGGCGUUAAUAGCGUUCUUGCUUGACUAAGGCUCCAGAGGAAGCCACGGCUAACUCUGUGCCAGCAGCCGCGGUAAUACAGAGGCGGCAAGCGUUGUUCGGAAUUAUCGGGCGUAAAGAGCACGUAGGCGGCCUUGCAAGUCAGCUGUGAAAGCCUUCCGCUCAACGGGAGAACGGCAUCCGAUACUGCAUGGCUCGAGUGCGGGAGGGGAGAGUGGAACUUCUGGCGGAGCGGUGAAAUGCGUAGAUAUCAGAAGGAACGUCGGCGGCGAAGGCGACUCUCUGGCCUAUUACUGACACUGAGUGUGCGAAAGUUAGGGGAGCAAACGGGAUUAGAUACCCCGGUAGUCCUAGCCGUAAACGAUGGGCACUAAGUAGAGGGGUUUU